rnacentral:rRNA from 1 species
AUUGAACGCUGGCGGUAUGCUUAACACAUGCAAGUCGAACGGUAGCAGGCCUUCGGGCGCUGACGAGUGGCGGACGGGUGAGUAACGCGUAGGAAUCUGCCUCAUAGUGGGGGACAACGUGGGGAAACUCACGCUAAUACCGCAUACGCCCUACGGGGGAAAGCGGGGGAUCUUCGGACCUCGCGCUAUGAGAUGAGCCUGCGUUAGAUUAGCUAGUUGGUAGGGUAAAGGCCUACCAAGGCGACGAUCUAUAGCUGGUCUGAGAGGACGAUCAGCCACACUGGGACUGAGACACGGCCCAGGACUCCUACGGGAGGCAGCAGUGGGAAUAUUGGACAAUGGGC